AAACCAGUCAUAGGGCAACUCUCCUUUGGCAUAUAAUGAUAAUUUAGUAGACAAGUGAGGUAUCAUUUAUAUAUUUUAACAUAUAUACCAUCAUAUGUCAAAGGAGAGGAGCCCUAAAACUGGUUU
rnacentral:miRNA from 1 species